GUGCCAGCAGCCGCGUUAAUACGGAGGGUGCAAACGUUGCUCGGAAUUAUUGGGCGUAGAGCGCACGUAGGCGGACCAUCAAGUCGGAUGUGAAAUCCCUCGGCUUAACCGAGGACGUGCAUUCGAAACUGAUGGCCUUGAGUACGAAAGAGGAUCGCGGAAUUCCCGGUGUAGAGGUGAAAUUCGUAGAUAUCGGGAGGAACACCAGUGGCGAAGGCGGCGAUCUGGGUCGAUACUGACGCUGAGGUGCCAAAGCGUGGGGAGCAAACAGGAUUAGAUACCCUGGUAGUCC
rnacentral:rRNA from 1 species